UGGGUCCAGGGGAAGGAUCUGACUUCUGGAUGUGGACCCCCUGAGGCACCAGUACAGGAUCAAAAGAUAGAUAAAUAUUUGGAUUUAGACUAGAGAAGCUGCACUUACCUACCUUGAGGACUCUGUUCAGGAUCUGCACAGCUCAGUGGAGAUGGUGUGGAGAUAUUGCUUGCUGCUGGAAAUAUCUAGGUGAUCUCCUGAUCUCCUCAUAGUCUUUGAGCACAACUUUGGCAUAACUGGAAAUCUUCUCCUGGUGGAAAAAGAGAUGGUGGUGUGGCUGAACAACAGUCAUGCUGCUGUGGAAGGCUGCUCAGACGA